AGUGGCGGACGGGUGAGUAACGCGUGAGAAUCUGCCUUGGGGUCGGGGACAACCACUGGAAACGGUGGCUAAUACCGGAUACGCCUUCUGGUGAAAGAUUUAUUGCCCUAAGAGGAGCUCGCGUCUGAUUAGCUAGUUGGUGAGGUAAGAGCUCACCAAGGCAGCGAUCAGUAGCUGGUCUGAGAGGACGAUCAGCCACACUGGGACUGAGACACGGCCCAGACUCCUACGGGAGGCAGCAGUGGGGAAUUUUCCGCAAUGGGCGAAAGCCUGACGGAGCAAGACCGCGUGAGGGAGGAAGGCUCUUGGGUUGUAAACCUCUUUUCUCAGGGAAGAAGCUCUGACGGUACCUGAGGAAUCAGCCUCGGCUAACUCCGUGCCAGCAGCCGCGGUAAUACGGAGGAGGCAAGCGUUAUCCGGAAUUAUUGGGCGUAAAGCGUCCGCAGGUGGCGAUUCAAGUCUGCUGUCAAAGCACGGGGCUUAACUCCGUAAAGGCAGUGGAAACUGAAUAGCUAGAGUGCCGUAGGGGUAGAGGGAAUUCCCGGUGUAGCGGUGAAAUGCGUAGAGAUCGGGAAGAACAUCGGUGGCGAAAGCGCUCUACUGGACGGCAACUGACACUCAGGGACGAAAGCUAGGGGAGCGAAUGGGAUUAGAUACCCC
rnacentral:rRNA from 1 species